rnacentral:rRNA from 1 species
UACGAAGGGGGCUAGCGUUGCUCGGAAUCACUGGGCGUAAAGGGUGCGUAGGCGGGUCUUUAAGUCAGGGGUGAAAUCCUGGAGCUCAACUCCAGAACUGCCUUUGAUACUGAGGAUCUUGAGUACGGGAGAGGUGAGUGGAACUGCGAGUGUAGAGGUGAAAUUCGUAGAUAUUCGCAAGAAUACCAGUGGCGAAGGCGGCUCACUGGCCCGUAACUGACGCUGAGGCACGAAAGCGUGGGGAGCAAACAGG